rnacentral:rRNA from 1 species
GUGGGGAAUAUUGGGCAAUGGGCGCAAGCCUGACCCAGCCACGCCGCGUGAGUGAUGAAGGCCUUCGGGUCGUAAAGCUCUGUGGGGAGAGACGAAAAAACGGCAGCUAAUAUCUGCUGGACUGACGGUAUCUCCUUAGCAAGCACCGGCUAACUCUGUGCCAGCAGCCGCGGUAAUACAGAGGGUGCAAACGUUGCUCGGAAUCAUUGGGCGUAAAGCGCACGUAGGCGGCCCAGCAAGUGGGGAGUGAAAGCCCUCGGCUUAACCGAGGAAGUGCUUUCCAAACUACUGGGCUUGAAUACUGGAGAGGGUCGCGGAAUUCCCGGUGUAGAGGUGAAAUUCGUAGAUAUCGGGAGGAACACCAGUGGCGAAGGCGGCGACCUGGACAGAUAUUGACGCUGAGGUGCGAAAGCGUGGGGAGCAAACAGGAUUAGAUACCCGAGUAGUCC